GGUGCAAUUGUUGGUUGGUAUGAUAAAUCUAUUUUUAGUUCUAAAGGAAACUGCCAAUCUAUUUCCCAGAGUGGCUGUACCAUUUUAUAUUCCUACCAGCAAU
rnacentral:pre_miRNA from 1 species